GACGAACGCUGGCGGCGUGCUUAACACAUGCAAGUCGAACGGACAGGCCCUGCUUUUGCUGGUUGGUCGUGUGGCGCACGGGUGAGUAACACGUGAGUAACCUGCCCUUGACUUUGGGAUAACUUCAGGAAACUGGGGCUCUUACCGGAUAUGAGCUCCUGCUGCAUGUUGGGGGUUGGAAAGUUUCGGCGGUUGGGGAUGGACUCGCGGCUUAUCAGCUUGAUGGUGGGGUAGGUGAUGACCAAGGCUAUGACGGGUAGGCUGCAUGAGAGGGUUAACGGCCACAUGGGGACUGAGAUACGGAGCAGACGGGUACGGGAGGCAGCAGGGGAGAACAUUGCAGAAUGGGCGGAAGCCUGAGGCAGAAACGCCGGGUGCGGGAUGACGGCCUUCGGGUGAUAAACAGCUUUCGACUGUGACGAAGCGGGAGUGACGGUAAUGGGUAAAGAAGCAACGGCUAACUACGUG
rnacentral:rRNA from 1 species